rnacentral:rRNA from 1 species
AUUGAACGCUGGCGGCAGGCCUAACACAUGCAAGUCGAGCGGAUGGAGGGAGCUUGCUCCUGGAUUCAGCGGCGGACGGGUGAGUAAUGCCUAGGAAUCUGCCUGGUAGUGGGGGAUAACGUCCGGAAACGGGCGCUAAUACCGCAUACGUCCUGAGGGAGAAAGUGGGGGAUCUUCGGACCUCACGCUAUCAGAUGAGCCUAGGUCGGAUUAGCUAGUUGGUGGGGUAAAGGCCUACCAAGGCGACGAUCCGUAACUGGUCUGAGAGGAUGAUCAGUCACACGGGAACUGAGACACGGUCCAGACUCCUACGGGAGGCAGCAGUGGGGAAUAUUGGACAAUGGGCGAAAGCCUGAUCCAGCCAUGCCGCGUGUGUGAAGAAGGUCUUCGGAUUGUAAAGCACUUUAAGUUGGGAGGAAGGGCAGUAAGUUAAUACCUUGCUGUUUUGACGUUACCAACAGAAUAAGCACCGGCUAACUUCGUG